UCUAUUAACUGAGUAAAGAAACUCAAUUCUUCGGAGCUCUUCUGUCUUCCUCCUCUCUUCUCUUCAUUUGUUAGAACAAAAUUUAAAUCUCCUAUAACCAUCCAUGGGAGAUCUACAGAGGCUGCUAGGUUUUUGAAGUAAUUCCAGCUAUUGUGUUUCUUAAUUUUGUAAGGGCAACCAUACACAACAGACAUCAACCAUUCAAAGUUUCUAGAUCUAUCAGUAACAACCACAUCUAUUUGAUUAUCAGUACUAUUGAUCAAUUGGAUUGAAAUCAUAGAAGACCAGGCUAACACUAAGCCUCCUGCAGUGCCAAUCACCCCUGUGGGUUCAACAACAAUCAUAUCCAGGUCUUCAGGGCAUGCAUCUGAAGUGGCUCCUUGCUUGACUCCAAGUCUCUAACUGUGGUGGAGAGGGCAGAUGGCAUGGGUGGAAAGUUAGGUGCAGGGCCAUAUUUUUUGGGGCUAUUAGGAUGAGAUGAAUAUGAUGAGAAAGGAUUUUUUGGUGGCUUGGAUUUUAGGAUGGGCUCUGCAUAUUCAGGUAUGGGUUCAGAAGAUUGGUAGGGGCUGGUAGUUUGUGAACCUAGUUGAGCUGAGGUCAAUUGAGAGUUUUUGCUGUAUAAUUGAUGUGGGAGAUUUAUAAUAGGACUCAGCUGAAAAUCCAUAUUUUUGAUUUCUUGUUGUUGAUGUUUCUGCCAUUUGGAAGUGGCGUGAAGCAGUGCUUUCAUUAGGGAUUUUUCAUAGUUUGUUUUGAGUACCUUUGUAGCUAGCCUUACAGUUGGUCUUUUCUUUUUCUUGCUUGUUCUCUUACUUGUGCUUACUGCAUUCCCAGUUUGAGUGUUGUUGGUAUUGAUUAGUUUGUUGGCUAGAUUAGAUCGUCCAACCAUCUUUCUUGGGGUCUUAUGAGCUUCAAAGUGGUAAUGUUUCUUUCCAGUUGCGCUCUCAACUGUCAGAGGUGUGUUACCUCUCAUCCCCUUACAUCUUACCAUCAUUGCAUCUCCUCCCCUUUCCCUUUCUUUUUCCUUUUCUUGUGGCUUAUCUGUAACUGAGAUCUUCCCCUGCACCUUGGACAGUACUAUUCUUCUGGUGGAUUUUGUGUAUUUUUAAAGCUCUCAUAACCUGGAGGUGGCUCCACAAACACCUGUAGAUCCACCAGUUGGAAAGCAGAGUUUGGGAGAGUUGAAUCAUUUACCACAGAACUUGGUCCAUUCUCAAAUCUGAAACUGCUUGCUUUCCAGGCCCUCUUUUUAAACUCACUUCCAUUCCCAUUUCCAGUCCUCUGUAUCUUGUGUACAGGGGACAUUUCCUCACCCUCCGGCAGAUGUCUUUUUGAGUGAACAUCUUCUUGUUCAACAAAGGUUUCCUGAGGCAAGACUCCCAGCUGAAAACUUGGUCUUGUGUCCUUCAGAAACUGAACAUUCUCUACAGCAUCUUGAGAAAGCCCCCCUCCUUUUCAUGAUGACAGUUACUUGAUUCGCCUUGCUGUAAGUAAUUUGUUGUUGUUUGCAGGUGUUUGGCUGUAGCUUUGUAGACCGCAUUUGAGAGAGCUUGCAUCUGAUCUUCUACAAACUCUUCAUUUUCCUCCUUUUCUUCUAGUUCUUCCAUGAUUGUAUCAUGUGCUGGUUGACUCACUGUUGUGGGGACACAUUUCUUUUUCGGGUGGUUUAAGGUUCUAUAAAUCUUGCAAAAACCUCUAGGCAAUUUUUCAAAGAAAACUUUCACUAUUACUAGCUCUUUUUUCCCCAUAGUUACUGGUAUGUGGUCCCAUAGUUUGUUAUUGACAUUGAUCUCAACAAGUACUCUAGGACAUGAUAGAGUUUGUCGGCUUCUUGAUGGUUUUUCUACCAUAAGACAAGGAGCCAUGGAGUUUGCUAUCUCAAAAGGAAUCGUUCCAACUGCAUAUUCUGGUGGUAGAUCAAUAAGCUUAGCCCACAUUGCAAUAAUGUCCAUAUUGAUGGAAGCAGGAGAAACCCCAAAAAGGUAUUGUUGGACCACUAUCAUGAAAGGACCAAAACCCCAGAGGUUUCUUGACAGAGCAUACAACACAUCAGAUCUGGAAAGUAGUGCAAAUACAAAUAUGUUUCUUUCUUUUCCCCUGAAAACAAUAGUUGCCUCUGGCUUGUAAUCAAGCUGACAUACUUGUUGAACUAUCUCAGCUGCUCUAUCCUUAUGUAAUUUGAAUUCACAGUUGAGCUUUGCUAUGAUUUUUAAUGUUGCUUGUUCUCUGACUUCGGCUACUUGAUCAUCAUCUAAAUGGAAGGGUUUGUUUAUGUCAA